rnacentral:rRNA from 1 species
UACGUAGGCAGCGAGCGUUGUUCGGAGUUACUGGGCGUAAAGGGUGUGUAGGCGGUUGCUUAAGUUUGGUGUGAAAUCUCCCGGCUCAACCGGGAGGGUGCGCCGAAUACUGAGUGACUAGAGUGCGGGAGAGGAAAAUGGAAUUCCUGGUGUAGCGGUGAAAUGCGUAGAUAUCAGGAGGAACACCGGUGGUGUAGACGGCUUUCUGGACCGUAACUGACGCUGAGACACGAAAGCGUGGGUAGCAAACAGG